GGAUGCGAUCAUGCCAGCACUAAAGCACCGGAUCCCAUCAGAACUCUGAAGUUAAGCGUGCUUGGGCGAGAGAGUAGUACUAGGAUGGGUGACCUCCUGGGAAGUCCUUGUGUUGCAUUCC
rnacentral:rRNA from 1 species